AGAAAAGGUUUACAGUCAGUCACUAAUCCAGAAUAUGCAUUCUCCAGAAACCCACAACACCUAAGAAAGCUUGUGUUUACUUUUUACUAGUUAGUGCAGGCAUAGCAGUUAUUUUACUGAUUACAUCUGUGGGGAUCUGAUGAUGUUCAUCUUACCAUUUUAUUCCCAAGAACAAGAUCUCCUGGGCAGGUCCCUUGACCUUAGUUUGCUUUAUGGCAAAACCAUUGUUUAAGAAGGAUAUGAAUUAUUUUCUUCACUUUGUCAAAAACCCCCUCUGCUGUGUUGUCCCACACUAUGAUGUCAUCAAUAUUUUGUAUGCACUCAGGAGCUGCCCCCUGUUCCAGUGCAGUCUGGAUCAGCACAUAAGAUUGUGUUUCCACCUCUGAGGCAGUCAAUUCCAUGUGUACUGUGCACCCCUUCAAGUAAAAGCAAACUGUGUUCUGCGCUCUGCUGCCAGAGGGAGUGAGAAAAACAUAUUAGUGGUGAUUAGUGGUGUCAGUUGUAGCAUACCAUAUGGCUGCUUUUGGCUUGUGUUGGAGUUCUAGAAUGUCUGGCACAGCAGACUUCAGUGACUUCAUUCACUGUCAGCUUCCACUCUUCACUGGACUUUUGCACUGACCACUGGGACUACUGAAGGAUGAGCAUAUCUUGCUGAUGAAUCCUUGGUUCUCCAGUUGGUGAAUCAGCUGAUGAAUGGGAAUUAGGGAGUCCUGAUUGGCAUGACAUUGCUGUUGGUGCACCGUUGUAAUAGCAAUCAGCAUUUGCUGUUCUUCUAGUAUUAGCAAUACCACAACAGAAGGAUCUUCUGAGAGUCCAGGCAAGUUCAUUCCUUACAGGAUACUGGAAAGGUGAUGCUCUCCAUGCAACUCUACCACACUGAUUGCACAUUCAGCAUGUCAUCUGGAUCUUGGCAGUCGGUACUAUCGUCCAGGUUUCACCAGCGAGGGGUCUAGCCACACCACCCAAGCUGCAGAAAGCAAAGGUCUUCAGUCAGUUCCACAGUGAACCACCCCCUCCAACUCCCAGGGCAGCAGAAACAAGAGUGGAGUGCACCUUACUGUUUUGCAGCAGCAAGAAUCCACCACAGGCAGCUUCAAAUCCCAGGAUUCGGCACCAAAUUGUGAGAAAUGCUCAAAAUCAAUCAUUUUCAAUCAGGCAAGUGUCCUCAUGAAGCAACAAUGCUUAUUCAUUAUUGCAAUCACGGGCGCACGUCCCCUUGUGGCAAGGGAGAAAUUGUGCAGUUAGUGUGAUCUGCACCACUGCACUCUCACUCCAAUACAGGUAGCGUUAUUUCUGGCCUUCACUGGCUGAGCAUCUCAAGCUCACAGUCUUCCUGGCACUGUUGCUACCAUACGUUUUCAUGUAAGAUCUAUUACCAACCUGUUAUUUUUUAAGCAUGUUUUGUAAUUCUCUAUGAAGAUAGGAGGGCAGUGUUUCCUAAAGGCAUCACAUUUGUUCUCUCCUCUGCUAGGCUCUCUUACUUUGCAUAUCUACCUUAUCUUAUACCAGUCUCAACUCCAUGCUGGUCAGAAUGCCACAAUCUCUGCUUUACUCUGUUCAGCAUCUUUCUUAUGAAAAACAAAAUAUUUGUUAUAUUUUCCCUAUCUUGUGGUAGUCUGAAUCUCAGCAGCUUUUAGUGAAAAACAACUUGUAUAGCUACUUCGCUAGAAGGUUGUAAGUUCAGUAAGGGCCUAUACCUUGGCACAAAAGAUGCUGGAAACUUCCACUGCAAAAACAGAGUCUGUCUAUGUCUCACAGUUUGGCUGGGGGUUGUGGCAGCACCAGAGUUCCAUUCGAACAUCAUUUGGUUACUGGUUGCAGGUUUGGCAUGGAGAAGAAGAUACAGUAUGGUGAAGAAGCAGGAUCCUCUUCUGAUGGAGUCCAGGACACCAUUGGCUUUCCAAGAUGCAAGAACACACUGGUAGCUCAUAUUCUGUUUUUCAUCCAUUGGGACCUCCAAACACAAACAGUGGUGAGCAGAGUUGCCAGCCUUAGUCAGAGAGGCCACCUGUCCAUUAAAGGAAGAAUUGAAAAAGAUACUUGGUCCAGUAAUGUGUUACAGAAAGACACCCAAGGAAACAGUGGUCACUCAUCCAGAGAAGAGACCCUUACAGGAGAGAAAAUAUUCUAUUCCAGAGGAUGUCUGGUAAAAAAGGAUGGAUCCAGCAGAAGGAACCCAAGUAGGUGGUGAGUCACUGCAAACCAUCCCUAGACCGAAAUAACAUGGUUUGAAGAAAGGGAUGAACAAAGCAGUCAGUGGGCUGAGCUAUGAGCCAUGGGGAUGGUUAUAAGUAAGGAGCUGUGUGACAGCACAUUGAACAUCUGCACAGAUAGUUGGGUGCUCUACUGAGGACCCACACUCUGGAUAGCACAGUGGGCCACUCAGGGUUGAACAAUCCAUGCCUGACCUAUCUGGGGCAAAGAUAUGUGAGUUGAUAUACGGAAUGUGGUAAGACGCAGGGCCGUAUGAGCAUGCCACAUCUCUAGAUAGCAACCCUUGCAGCCACCAGGCUGAUGAAGCUGACAUGUAGGCUGAAGUUAGAUGGCUGGAAAAUGUGUCAGCCCACUGACAUGGGGAGACAUCGCCCACUGGCUAAGUCAAAAACUACAAAUGCAGACAAAAGACCAUGUGGCAGUGGCUAAAGCAUUAGGACUGCCCAUAGUGAAUAUUGUCCAAGUUGAGUUGCUGGAUAUUGUCCAAGGAUGUCAGGAAUAAAAAGAAAAAAAAGUUCUGAAAAAAAAGAUUUCUGAACAACUUCUUUCACAUUUUCCUUUUUUAAGCUUCCAGACUUCACUGUUUCCAAUUUUCCUCUUCCUGUUUUAGGAAGGACUGAGCACUUGUUUUUGUUUGAGAUGUUUCCUAGCCAUCAUAAUUUUUCAAGAUGGAGCUUUGAACAAAUUGUAUAGAGCUUGAUGUGAAGGAAGCUUGCAAUUUGUCUGCUUUGGGACCAGCCCAACCCCUUAUUUCCCCGGUCUUAAGAGCCAUUUUUGUCAGGACAGUAUUGUCUCUACAGCCUCAGUGCUUUUUUCUUGUAUCCCAGCUCCAUCCUUUGUCUUUCUUUAAUCUCUGCAGCUCUUGGUGCUUCUGUGUGACCCAGACUCUCUGCUUCACUUUUUCCACUUUACGCUCCUUUCUCCUGGGUUAGCAUCUUUCCACACUCACUCAUUACACAUUUACCUCUUGCACAUCCUUUUGAAUGGAGAAUUGAAAAUGGGGGGGAAAAAAGGGGAAACAGAAAGGCUAAUCUAAAUUUGCACAUUUAGAAAGAUAAGUAUUGGGCAUUUAUUUAGUUCACAAUAUGACCAUCAUGCUCUUCUUUCCCUGUUUCUUUUCAUCCUUGUUAUCUUGUAAAGAUUAAAUGCUGUGGGUCAGAUAUUUCAAAGACACAUAUGAGUCAUGUGCAGUAAUGAGGUGCUUUUCUGGUGGUUUUAUGGGACCUUGAUGAAGUAGAAGGAAGGCUGUAGAGGAAGGAAGCAAACUACUGUUUCAACUGAUUAAUCAAAUGCCAUUCUAUAAGAGGUUAACCUCCGUCUUCAUAUUGCUUUACUAUCAGUGACAGGCAGAAAAAGGAAGUACAGAGACAAAGGUAUUUUAUAAUGCAUAUUUGUUUUUGUUUUUUUUUUGAAAGAAACUUGGUAUACUGCACACUGCAUAGUCGUUGCUGAGGAAUCAUCAAGUGGAGGAGAAACAACUGGUUGCAUACAGGCGCAACUCAUGUUCUGGAGGACACUAUCAGUGUUCCCAAGAAGACACAGGGGAGAUGCUCACAUGUAACUCUGGUUGCCCUCUGCAUCUUUUGAUCUCUUUAACUUGGCCAACAGAUGAUACAAGCAUCAUUCAACUUUUGAAAGACAGUUUCUGUCCAUUUGGUGUCCUUUGCAGUUCCAGUGAAUAUCCUUGUCUGGACACCAGCUGCCACUCAUCUACACCACUACCAAGCCUAAGCUUGUUGGCUUGCUGCUGUUCAGAGAAGCUAAUGACAGCCACUUCCUAAGAGCUACUCAUUUCUACAGGGCUCCCAGUACUCACAAUGCUUGCUUGGUUGGUGUUAACUAUUUUUUAUAGUACACUACACUUGGGGAAAAAAAAAAAAGCAACACUGUUCUAGAGCGUAGAAGUAAUGAGUUUUCUUCCAUCUAUUGACAAUACAAUUCUUGGUGCUUAUCUUUACUGUAGCUCACAGAGUUAAGUGUGCAUGCACGUAUGCACCUAUUAACUACUAUCUUUUUCUUUUGUCUUUUGGAAACUGAUUUCAUUUCCCACAAGUGAAUAAGUAAUAUGUCAUGUUUCUCACUUAAUAUACUUGUGCCCCUGAGAUACAGUGUGUAGGAUAGCUGACUCUUCCCUAGAGACAAUUAUUCUGUAUGGAUAAAUGCAUAAUUCUCCCAGGCUAAAUACUGCAGGCUGAAAAAUUCACAACCAUUGUUCUCAGUUAUAGGAAAAAUCAUGUUUAUUCAAAAUCACUUGGACUUACUAUAUGAUUUUGAUUAGUAUGCUGAAAUGAAAAAUAUGUUUUGUGUGAUCAGCGAAAUAAUAUUUUUGAUUGUUUAACCUUUUCAUGCAUCAAUGAACUGAAGUAGCUGCUAAUGUAAUUUGGUGGUGUCAGAAAUCAAUUACUCUGCUGUGAGAGGUUUUAUUUUUACGUUAACUUCAGAAAUAACAAGAUUUGGGCUUUUCUUGAAGGAAAGAUAAAUACACUGUAAUAACAAAAACCUCAGGCUGUAUUUCUGUGUCAGCUUCAGACAAUUUUCUUCAGGCUUCAGCAAUGUAGCUCAUGAGUUCUCAGGUAAUUUUUUCUCUUUCUUUCCAUUUUCUACUCCUGAACGUAGUUGGAGGCCCAUCUAGCAUGAAGAAAAUCAUAUCCUGCAUGGGGUCCUCUGCACAGGCUGCAGUUCUGGCCUGGAGUCUGCUUCUUCAGGGCUUCUGCAUGGGAUGUGGAUUCCUUCAGGCUACAUCCACCUGCUGCCCUGGGGACUACUCUAUGUGCCAUGUGCAAAUCUGUCCAUGGGCUGUUGGGCCAUAGCCUUCUUCGGAUUGGGUAUGUCCUGGGCUGCAGGAAACUGCUACUCUGCACCUGAAGUACCUCCUGCCCUACUUCUGCACUGACCUUGAGGCUACUUUCACUCCUCUGACUCAAAACUAUUUGAGAGAGUAUUUGCUGGUCUCAUCUUUGUCCUGUGAGUGCACUGGAGACAACUAGAAUGUGUCCACAGCUGGCAUGGGUCAGAUCCUCCAGCGCCAUUGCCACUGAAUCUUUGCCAUGUGCUAGCUGCUGAAUGUGCAUGCAAACAGUGAUAAGACAUCUAAUAGCACAGAAGACUCCAGUUUAUUAUCUAAUCUCUGAGGAAGUCAUUUUAGCAUAUUAUCAAAUACAGGUCUCAGUUACUUGCAAUGGAGAUUUCAUUACCAUUCUGAAUUAGAGAAGAGCUAUCAUGCCUUCACAGGCUUUCUGCACUUUCACAGUUGCUACCUUUUCAGAGAACAAGGAUUUUUGGAGAUGCUGUGAAGCCAGUCAUUGUGAAAGAUGAGUCUUUGGAGCCAAGAGAUUAUGACUGUUGUGUAAAGCCUUGUGUCAUGUUAAAGGACAACAUCUAAGGAAUACCCAAUUUGGUGCUAUAAGUUAGCUGCAUUCAAUAUAUGAACUAUCACGAUUACAGAUUCACAAACAGUACAUUGUCUGAUUCAUCUAGAAGCAUUCAGUUCACAUGACUGAAUCAAGAAAGGAAUUUGGCCAUGCCCAAUCAGAGUUCUGACUGGGCAUGGCUAAAUUCCUUAAUGGAGGAGAUUGUGGUAGGUCACUGAAUACUAUACAGAUUUCUAAGUUUCCCUGAUAGGUUCUACUACCCCACUAGAGUAGGUAAUCCUGCCUCGUGUUGCUGCAAUAUCCAUGCAUCAGGUGCACAUGCCUUUAGCAUGGCAGAUGCUAUUUUUCUAUGCGGGGUGUAGAAAUGUCUGUGAAUAUGUGGGUGACUGCUGCUGGUCAGCGUUAUAUAUCCCAAGCUAUGGGAUGCAAGAAGAUGACUUCAAACUCCCAGGCUGUAACCAGCCUCUUCCAUUCAAGAUGUGCAGAUCUUCCAGGAUACCGCUGUAACUUACACUCACCUGAAAGCCCAGAUGCUACUAACAUGAUCCUAAAAAGGUGGGAGAACACUGUUUUGAAGAGAUUUUGAAGGUCUGUGUGAUACACAGCAACACCAAGGCAUUGUUCACGUGGGAUUCCUAUUUGUAGCAAAUCAAUCUAGUCAUCACUAGCAAGAAUACUGUCAUUCAUUAGCCCUGCUGAGUAGAACCUGGGUGUCCCAGUGGAUGAAAAGCUGAACGUGAACCAACAGUGUGAGCUUGCAGCUUGGAAGGUCAAUGGUAUCCUGGGUCUCAUCAGAAGAAGGGUGGCCAGCAGGGCGAGGGAGGUAA